rnacentral:rRNA from 1 species
UGCAAGUCGAGCGGAAACGAACCUAGCUUGCUAGGAGGCGUCGAGCGGCGGACGGGUGAGUAAUGCAUAGGAAUCUGCCCGGUAGUGGGGGAUAACUUGGGGAAACUCAAGCUAAUACCGCAUACGCCCUACGGGGGAAAGCAGGGGAUCUUCGGACCUUGCGCUAUCGGAUGAGCCUAUGUCGGAUUAGCUAGUUGGUGAGGUAAUGGCUCACCAAGGCAACGAUCCGUAGCUGGUCUGAGAGGAUGAUCAGCCACACUGGGACUGAGACACGGCCCAGACUCCUACGGGAGGCAGCAGUGGGGAAUAUUGGACAAUGGGCGAAAGCCUGAUCCAGCCAUGCCGCGUGUGUGAAGAAGGCUUUCGGGUUGUAAAGCACUUUCAGCGAGGAAGAAGGCUUGGCGGUUAAUACCUGCCAGGAAGGACAUCACUCGCAGAAGAAGCACCGGCUAACUCCGUGCCAGCAGCCGCGGUAAUACGGAGGGUGCAAGCGUUAAUCGGAAUUACUGGGCGUAAAGCGCGCGUAGGUGGCUUGAUAAGCCGGUUGUGAAAGCCCCGGGCUCAACCUGGGAACUGCAUCCGGAACUGUUAGGCUAGAGUGCAGGAGAGGAAGGUAGAAUUCCCGGUGUAGCGGUGAAAUGCGUAGAGAUCGGGAGGAAUACCAGUGGCGAAGGCGGCCUUCUGGACUGACACUGACACUGAGGUGCGAAAGCGUGGGUAGCAAACAGGAUUAGAUACCCUGGUAGUCCACGCCGUAAACGAUGUCGACUAGCCGUUGGGAGCCUUGAGUUCUUAGUGGCGCAGCUAACGCAAUAAGUCGACCGCCUGGGGAGUACGGCCGCAAGGUUAAAACUCAAAUGAAUUGACGGGGGCCCGCACAAGCGGUGGAGCAUGUGGUUUAAUUCGAUGCAACGCGAAGAACCUUACCUACUCUUGACAUCGUGCGAACUUGGUAGAGAUACCUUUGGUGCCUUCGGGAGC